rnacentral:rRNA from 1 species
ACGCUGGCGGCAGGCCUAACACAUGCAAGUCGAGCGGCAGCACAGGUACUUGUACCGGGUGGCGAGCGGCGGACGGGUGAGUAAUGCCUAGGAAUCUGCCUGGUAGUGGGGGAUAACGUUCGGAAACGGACGCUAAUACCGCAUACGUCCUACGGGAGAAAGUGGGGGAUCUUCGGACCUCACGCUAUCAGAUGAGCCUAGGUCGGAUUAGCUAGUUGGUGAGGUAAUGGCUCACCAAGGCGACGAUCCGUAACUGGUCUGAGAGGAUGAUCAGUCACACUGGAACUGAGACACGGUCCAGACUCCUACGGGAGGCAGCAGUGGGGAAUAUUGGACAAUGGGCGAAAGCCUGAUCCAGCCAUGCCGCGUGUGUGAAGAAGGUCUUCGGAUUGUAAAGCACUUUAAGUUGGGAGGAAGGGCAUUAACCUAAUACGUUGGUGUUUUGACGUUACCGACAGAAUAAGCACCGGCUAACUCUGUGCCAGCAGCCGCGGUAAUACAGAGGGUGCAAGCGUUAAUCGGAAUUACUGGGCGUAAAGCGCGCGUAGGUGGUUUGUUAAGUUGAAUGUGAAAUCCCCGGGCUCAACCUGGGAACUGCAUGCAAAACUGGCAAGCUAGAGUAUGGUAGAGGGUGGUGGGAUUUCCUGUGUAGCGGUGAAAUGCGUAGAUAUAGGAAGGAACACCAGUGGCGAAGGCGACCACCUGGACUGAUACUGACACUGAGGUGCGAAAGCGUGGGGAGCAAAC